AUUCUUACAAAUAAAAUAUUAUUAGUUGGAAAAAAGCUCAAAGGUACUUAUAGUUUUAUAUAUUUGGAAAUGGAAAUGUAUUUUAGUAAUGCAGUCUAACGUAUUGCUCGUUAUAGCCAUUCAGCGAGCCAUAAACACCUGAAAGAAAACAGCAAAAAAACACAAUGUUAAUUACUCGUAAAUUUAUUAGAAGCAACGAUUUUAAAGCUGAACUAACCUGGAUAUUUUUGGCCUUAGCUUAUCAACAUGUAAGCCGUGUUUAAUAUGGAGGACUUGUUUAUUAUUGGCCCUUAUUAUAAUAUUAAACUAAUUUGAAUGUAUAUGUAUUCACACUUUAAUAUUAUACACUUGACUUGUUCGGUAUUCUAAAACUUGUGUGUUUUUCACUUGCAUCAGCAGCAGUCUUGUAGUAAAAGUGAUUUAAUCUUGCUCGUGAUGAGGACAGGUAAACUUCUGAAGAAGUACAACAGAUAACAUCCUGACCAGUUUUAAAAUGUAGGUAUUCUCUACAAAGCAGGGGUGAGACGUUUCUUUUUAGCAUACAAAGAAUUUUUUAAAACUGAACAUUUAGAAACUUCAUACAUUGAUAGUUUUGUAUGUUCAGGUAGUCGUGAAUUACUUGAUCGAUCAAAUAAAUAGAAAAACCAUUUUUGUCUAUACAUUUGUGUUAUAAAACUCUAUGCAUAUAUUUAUAGGUGCUUGAUAAUUUGUAUAUGCACAAGGAACUGGUAUUUUCAAGUUUUAUUUAAUACACAGUUGGUAAAAUCCAAGUAUAAAAGAUACUAAAUGCUUUUUUAUGGUAAACCUUACAUUCCGAUUUUCCAUUACAGCUAUGGACUUCUGUGUAUACAAAUACAAGAUUAUGUUCAUACUGUGUAUACAAAUACAAGAUUAUGUUCAUACUGUGUAUACAAAUACAAGAUUAUGUUCAUACUGUGUAUACAAAUACAAGAUUAUGUUCAUACUGUGUAUACAAAUACAAGAUUAUGUUCAUACUGUGUAUACAAAUACAAGAUUAUGUUCAUACUGUGUAUACAAAUACAAGAUUAUGUUCAUACUGUGUAUACAAAUACAAGAUUAUGUUCAUACUGUGUAUACAAAUACAGGAUUAUGUUCAUACUGAUGUUUAACAGUAAAUCUAAUACUCGUAUACCUGCUAUUUUAAAUAUUCCAAAAAGUGAGGAACAUGAACCGAGUCAUUGAUUUAUUUCGAUCAACUUUGUUUAAAGAAAACUUUGUCAAUCUUGUAGUUUCAAAUGCCUAUGAAUUUUUGGAUAAAUAGUUUAACAAUAUACAAAAAAUAAAUGUCUACACAAAAUUGGAUUUCAUGUUUAUUUUACUUAUCAAGUAAUUUGUGGCUAGUUGAACGAACAAAACUUAAGUAAAAUUUCAACAUAUGAAGUUUGUAAAUGUUCACGCUGUAUAACCUUACCAUAUAUUGGUAUAUUUUUUACAUGUUAAAAAUCAACUACUUACCCCUUCCCUCGUAUGUACAACUGAUGAAUUUUUAAACCAGGAUUUCAUCUGCAGUAUUUCUUCACCUGUAAAGAUUAUAUUUCUACAUUGAAAACAUAAAUUUAUCUGUUAGUUUGGUUCUAAUAUAAGGUAGCUGCUGACAUGAGUGACAGAAUAUUGAAAUCUAAGAAUACUCUAUAAAUCAAGUGUAUUAGAGCAGGCCAUAGAUCAGUAAAGCAUAUUCAAUUAUUCAAAUUAUUUUAUUAAGAUCUUUAUUAUUAGAGCCAAUAAUGGACAAAGCUUGCAUAUAAAAGAGAGCUUAUGUCACUUUUAGCUGAGGCCAAAAAUGACUAUGAUUAGAUCAUCUUGUGAAUUGCUGUUUGUUUUAUAAAUGUAAAGAAACUUUUCCUCUAUUUAUAGCUACAUGUAAACUCCCACAAAUGUGUGUCACUAGUUUCAACCUUUGACCUAUAUCAGUCAGGUGUGGAUAGGUGAUUUCAACUACGCAGUUUGUCUGCACGUCGAAAAAUACAUCAAACGUCCAGUGUUAAAGUAAUAUUAAUUCUUUCUCCAAUGAUUUCCAGAAACAAAGAAGAAUAAGAUAUGUGAACCUCCAUGGAGUUUCUGACAAAAAAGAAUUAACUUGAGAUAAUUUAGAUAAAGUAAAACCAUAAAUAUAACCACCUUAACAAAUAUUGACUUUUAUAAUACAAAAUAAUGAGAUAUGUAUCAUCCAUGGUGUAUAGGUUAAUAACAUCAGUGCAAAGUACACACUGUAGGUAUUGUCUUACAGUUCCGUGAUGUAACAUGUAGUUUUAUAAUGUUAGUGAAAAGUCAACACUGUAGGUAUUGUGUUAGUUCCAUGAUACAACAUGAACUUUAAUAAUGUUAGUGAAAAGUCAACACUGUAGGUAUUAUGUUUGUUCCAUGAUGUAACAUGUAGUUUAAUAAUGUUAGUGAAAAGUCAACACUGUAGGUAUUGUGUUAGUUCCAUGAUACAACAUGAACUUUAAUAAUGUUAGUGAAAAGUCAACACUAUAGGUAUUGUCUUAACGUUCCAUGAUGUAACAUGUAGUUUAAUAAUGUUAGUGAAAAGUCAACACUAUAGGUAUUGUGUUAGUUCCAUGAUACAACAUGAACUUUAAUAAUGUUAGUGAAAAGUCGGUGCUGUAGGCAUUAUCUUAGUUACAUCAUCUGAAGUGCCGUUUAAUAAUGUUAGUGAAAAGUCAACACUAAAGGGUUUACCUUACAGUCCCCUGAUCUUAUGUGUAGUUUAAUACUGUUUGUGAAAAGUCAACACUGUAGAUAUUAUCUUAACGUAUACAGUGUGUAGUUUAAUGAUGUUAGUGAAAAGUCUAACACUGUAGGUAUUAUCUUAACAUUACAUGUUGCAAUGUGUAGCUCAAUAGUGUUAGUGAAAAUUCAACACUAUAGGUAUUUUCUUAACAUUCCAUGAUGAAACCUAGUUUGAUAAUGUUAGUGAAAAGUCAACACUGUAGGUAAUUUGUUACAGUUUCAAGAUGUAACAUGUAGUUUAAUAAUCUUAUUGAAAAGUCAACACCAUAGAUAUUAUCAGUUGCCUGAUGUAUCAUGUAGUUUAAUAAAGUUAGUAUAAAAAAAGCCAAAUGUAAUACACAAUUUAAUAAUGUUAGUGAAAGUCAACACUGUAGGUAUUAUCUUACCAUUACAUGAUGUUACAGGUAGUUUAAUAAUAUAAAUAAAAAAGGUAAAUGUUUAGGGAAUACAUGCCUUGCUAAGUUUCAUCUUCCAUUUUCCAAAGUAAAGGAAAAAUAAAAACAAUACAUGUUUUGAUGCCAAACAGAAAUAAGCUUUAUUAUUGCUACUGUAAUCCUGAUUUAGUUUUAUAGAGUAUU